rnacentral:rRNA from 1 species
AGCGGGAAGCCAUAUGGCGACAUAGAGCGGAACCCGAAAACCUGUCUCAGUUCGGAUUGGAGUCUGCAACCCGACUCCAUGAAGCUGGAUUCGCUAGUAAUCGCGCAUCAGCCACGGCGCGGUGAAUACGUUCCCGGGCCUUGUACACACCGCCCGUCAAGCCAUGGAAGCCGGGAGUGCCUGAAGUGCGUGAGCGCAAGCAGCGCCCUAAGGUAAAACCGGUGACUGGGGCUAAGUCGUAACAAGGUACC